rnacentral:rRNA from 1 species
GACGAACGCUGGCGGCGUGCUUAACACAUGCAAGUCGAACGGUAAGGCCCUUCGGGGUACACGAGUGGCGAACGGGUGAGUAACACGUGGGUGAUCUGCCCUGCACUUCGGGAUAAGCCUGGGAAACUGGGUCUAAUACCGGAUAGGACCACUGCCUGCAUGGGUGGUGGUGGAAAGCUUUUGCGGUGUGGGAUGGGCCCGCGGCCUAUCAGCUUGUUGGUGGGGUGAUGGCCUACCAAGGCGACGACGGGUAGCCGGCCUGAGAGGGUGACCGGCCACACUGGGACUGAGAUACGGCCCCGACGCCUACGGGAGGCAGCAGUGGGGAAUAUUGCACAAUGGGCGCAAGCCUGAUGCAGCGACGCCGCGUGAGGGAGGACGGCCUUCGGGUUGUAAACCUCGUUCAGCACCGACGAAGCGCAAGUGACGGUAGGUGCAGAAGAAGGACCGGCCAACUACGUGCCAGCCGCCGCAGUAA